rnacentral:lncRNA from 1 species
UUGAUAUUUGCACCGCAGGAAAUUUGGGCUCAUAGAGACCCUUUAGCCUGAUCUACAAAGCAGCAGGACAAACAGCGACAGAUGUUUGCAGUUAGACCUCUCCAGGAUCUGAAGCCUCCUACAGAUGAGGCUGAUGCCCAGCAAGGAUCUCACCACAAAGCUUGUCCUCAGCACGGCUAAGGGCCUUGAUGCGAAAACAGGACGGGGAUGCAGGGGUGACUGAAGAAGCAGAAAGGACUUGAAAACUACACCCUGCUCUGUCCAAAGCUCAAGAUGGUGAAAUUAACACCUAAAGCCCUGGUGGCCGGCACGGGAAAACUUUAGAAGUCCAGAGGUCUGAGGGCACCCUCCUGAAGCUGGUGAUGAGAAGAGCCCAAUGCCGAGUCGUCUUCCUGGUUGCCGGAUUCGUCUAUGCUCGCAGGGCUGUGAAGGAACGCCUGAGACGGGUUGAACUCUUCUGGUGGCCAGCCCUGGUGUCUGAAGUUUAGAAUGUGGUGCCAUGCUCUUGCAUGUUGUGCUUAAAAAGGCUUUUGUUGGAAAAGCUUGUGUGAAGCCACUGGCACCUGUUACGUGAGCACAUGUGACUCUGCGCUGACCCGUUGCCAUUGGGCCCUGGGGAAUGACAGAGAGAAAAGAUAAAUUGGGAAGGAGAAAGCCAGGUGUGGAGUAAAAAGGUGUGAAGAGAGCAGAGCUUGAUGAGAGGACAAGUGAGGAGGCUGGGCAUAAACUGUGAUCUGGAGAGACAAAGAGGAGGGGGUGCCUGUGUAUUUUGUGCAGUCGAACGACCCGGGUUCAAUUCCUGCCUUCAUUCCACUCUGAGCCUCAGACCCCCAUUCACAGAAGGGGCCUGUGUCAUGCAGCUCAUGAGUCAGGAGAAUUAAUGGGAUCGAGGGAGCCUGUUGACUGCUUGGCUCCAAUGACAAGCACACAGUAAGAAGCCAAUAAUAUGAAUGCUUUCUGCCUUUCACACCAUUUUCAUUUGUACGUCACUCUCUAGUAAGAUUAGUAAAAACGUUCCUAUGUUGA